rnacentral:rRNA from 1 species
AGUGAACGCUGGCGGCAGGCCUAACACAUGCAAGUCGAGCGGAAGAAGGGUGCUUGCUCGUGGAUUCAGCUGCGGACGGGUGGGUAGUGCCUAGGAAUCUGCCUGGUAGUUGGUUAUAACGUCCUGAAACGGGCGCUAAUACCGCAUACGUCCUGAGGGAGAAAGUGUGGGAUCUUCGGACCUCACGCUAUCAGAUGAGCCUAGGUCGGAUUAGCUAGUUGGUGGGGUAAAGGCCUACCAAGGCGACGAUCCGUAGCUGGUCUGAGAGGAUGAUCAGUCACACUGGAACUGAGACACGGUCCAGACUCCUACGGGAGGCAGCAGUGGGGAAUAUUGGACAAUGGGCGCAAGCCUGAUCCAGCCAUGCCGCGUGUGUGAAGAAGGUCUUCGGAUUGUAAAGCCCUUUUGGUUGGGAGGAAAGGCAGUAAGUUAAUACCUUGCUGUUUUGACGUUACCAACAGAAUAAGCACCGGCUAACUUCGUG